rnacentral:misc_RNA from 1 species
GAUGAAGAACGUAGCGAAAUGCGAUACGUAGUGUGAAUUGCAGAAUUCAGUGAAUCAUCGAAUCUUUGAACGCACAUUGCGCCCCUUGGUAUUCCGGGGGGCAUGCCUGUUCGAGCGUCAUUAUAACCCUCAAGCCUAGCUUGGUGUUGGAGCAUGCUACCUAAGCAGCUCUUAAAAUCAGUGGCAGUGCCCUUCGGCUCUAAGCGUAGUAACUUCUCUCGCUAUGGAACCCGGAGGGUACGCGCCAGAACCCCCAACUUUCUAUGGUUGACCUCGGAUCAGGUAGGGAUACCCGCUGAACUUAAGCAUAUCAAAAGCGGAGGA